UGAUCGUGCAGCGCUGCCUUGCCGGCCGCUCCCUCACCCACGUCCGCGCCGGCUGCGUCCUCUGCGGCUACCUCAAGGUGCUGCCCAUGUUCCUGAUGGUGCUGCCCGGCAUGGCCGCCCGCGUCCUCUUCCCGGAGGUCGUCGGCUGUGCUGACCCCCAGGGCUGCUCCCGGGCCUGCGGCUCCGCCCUCGGCUGCUCCAACGUGGCCUAUCCCCGGCUGGUGCUCAGCCUGCUGCCGCCCGGNGCUGACCCCCAGGGCUGCUCCCGGGCCUGCGGCUCCGCCCUCGGCUGCUCCAACGUGGCCUAUCCCCGGCUGGUGCUCAGCCUGCUGCCGCCCGGUAAUUAAUUACCCCUAAUUAGCGCGCAUUAAUUACUCAUUAAUCACUUAUUAGGGAUUUAUUAGCGAUUAUUAGCCAUUAUGAAUGAUUAUUAGUGAUUAUUCGUGGUCAUUAGUACUGGUCUAUCCCCGGCAGGUGCUCAGCCUGCUGCCACCCGGUAAUUAAUUACCCCUAAUUAGCGCGCAUUAAUUACUCAUCAAUCAUUUAUUAGGGAUUUAUUAGCGAUUAUUAGCGAUUAUGAAUGAUUAUUAGUGAUUAUUCGUGGUCAUUAGUACUGGUCUAUCCCCGGCAGGUGCUCAGCCUGCUGCCGCCCGGUAAUUAAUUACCCCUAAUUAGCACUCAUUAAUUACUCAUUAAUCACUUAUUAGGGAUUUAUUAGCGAUUAUUAGCGGUUAUUAGCGAUUAUUAGUGAUAAUUAGUACUGGCCUAUCCCUGGCUGGUGCUCAGCCUGCUGCCCUUCGGUAAUUAAUUAUGCAUAAUUAGCGCUCAUUAAUUAUUCAUGACCGCUUAUUAGUGAUUCAUAGCGCUAAUAAGCGAUUAUUAAGUAUUAUUAGUGGUUAUUAUUUAAUUAUUAAUGCUAAUUAGUUAUUUAUUAAUGAUUCUUAAUGAUUAGGUGAUAAUUAGUGCUUAUUAGCGAUUAAUUAAUGAUUAAUUACUGACUAUUAGCGAUUAAUAAUAAAUUAUUAUUAAUUAGAAGCA
rnacentral:lncRNA from 1 species